CCCUCGGUCGUCUAGUUGGUUCAUGGCGUCCGACAGUAACAUCAGUAGAUAUCGGAUUGUCGCGUGUUCGACUCACGCCUGAGGGA
rnacentral:tRNA from 2 species